rnacentral:rRNA from 1 species
CAUGCAAGUCGAACGAUGAUGCCCAGCUUGCUGGGUGGAUUAGUGGCGAACGGGUGAGUAACACGUGAGUAACCUGCCCCUGACUCUGGGAUAAGCGUUGGAAACGACGUCUAAUACUGGAUAUGACUGCCGGCCGCAUGGUCUGGUGGUGGAAAGAUUUUUUGGUUGGGGAUGGACUCGCGGCCUAUCAGCUUGUUGGUGAGGUAAUGGCUCACCAAGGCGACGACGGGUAGCCGGCCUGAGAGGGUGACCGGCCACACUGGGACUGAGACACGGCCCAGACUCCUACGGGAGGCAGCAGUGGGGAAUAUUGCACAAUGGGCGAAAGCCUGAUGCAGCAACGCCGCGUGAGGGAUGACGGCCUUCGGGUUGUAAACCUCUUUUAGUAGGGAAGAAGCGAGAGUGACGGUACCUGCAGAAGAAGCGCCGGCUAACUACGUGCCAGCAGCCGCGGUAAUACGUAGGGCGCAAGCGUUAUCCGGAUUUAUUGGGCGUAAAGAGCUCGUAGGCGGUUUGUCGCGUCUGCCGUGAAAGUCCGAGGCUCAACCUCGGAUCUGCGGUGGGUACGGGCAGACUAGAGUGAUGUAGGGGAGACUGGAAUUCCUGGUGUAGCGGUGAAAUGCGCAGAUAUCAGGAGGAACACCGAUGGCGAAGGCAGGUCUCUGGGCAUUUACUGACGCUGAGGAGCGAAAGCAUGGGGAGCGAACAGGAUUAGAU